UACGUAGGGUGCGAGCGUUAAUCGGAAUUACUGGGCGUAAAGCGUGCGCAGGCGGUUUUGUAAGCCAGAUGUGAAAUCCCCGGGCUUAACCUGGGAACUGCAUUUGGGACUGCAAGGCUUGAGUGCGGCAGAGGAGACUGGAAUUCCUGGUGUAGCAGUGAAAUGCGUAGAUAUCAGGAGGAAUACCGAUGGCGAAGGCAGGUCUCUGGGCUGACACUGACGCUCAGGAGCGAAAGCGUGGGGAGCGAACAGG
rnacentral:rRNA from 1 species